rnacentral:tRNA from 1 species
GGUGGCUUAGUGGUAGAGCGCUUGUCUUGCAUGCAUGAGGCCCUGGGUUUGAUUCCCCAGCACCA